rnacentral:rRNA from 1 species
AUGCAAGAGCUGGGACUGAGGGAAGAGGAUUUGGAUGAUGUGAUCUUCGACGAGCAAACUGCGCUGCCGGAGGGACCGAGAUGGACAGCCCUAGCUAGGGUUGACACCACAAAGACCUACAGCCAGACUUGGUUUUACAGAAACAUGAGAGCAGCGUGGGAUAUCGCACAAGAGGCUAGGUUCAAACCUCUCGAGGAAAACCUGUACCUGAUCCAGUUCACUUGCCUUGGUGAUUGGGAG